rnacentral:lncRNA from 1 species
GGGUGCGGUUGAAGCGGCUCACUUUAAACGGAAAUAUGUGCGCAUUCGAGUGUUAUUACAAGUGUAUUGUCUGAGCUUGCACACAUGUGUAGCAAGGGCAACGCCUGCUAAGUGAUGACGUCGGUUUGUAUACACACCAUUGUAUUGCUACCCGUUAUUUUGUUUUUUUAUACCCGGAACAUGUGCAUCAGACUACCUCGAAGCACGAAGGGAUGACGUUGAGUGCGACAGGCGGAGUGGUCCAUCGGCGUGUAGAUAUCCGCAAGCCUGCCAAUGCAACCCCUAUGCAGCCAUCGGAGUGAGAUCUGGUAACAGGUACCGCUACCAGAGAGGCCGGUGUCUUCGAGGUGCCUAUACUUUAAACUGUAACGGAUUUCCAUCAGCGGCGGCGUGUCAUUCGACAUGCAUGCGUCAACUACUUUAGUCGCGCAUGCCACUUCAACUUGCAGAAGUAUGCCUUGCAAUAAAGUAUCAACGGCAUGAA